AGGAGGUGCUCCAGACAUCCCAGAAGAUAAAGUGUUUGAAGGGCGGAGGAUACGAGCUGCAAAAUCAUCAGAUGGUGACAGACAUGGAGAAUAACCUCACAGUGAACACACAUCCACUGGAGAGCACAGUACUGAUCAUCCAGCAUGACUGGCGAGACUUCCUGCAGACACAGGAUAUCCUGGAGAAGAGAAGCCCCUC